UUGCUGUGAUGCUUACAUUUUUCGUCAACAGCAUUUCACAUUGUGAAUGAUGAUACAUCAGCUCUGAGCAA